rnacentral:rRNA from 1 species
GAAGGGGGCUAGCGUUGCUCGGAAUCACUGGGCGUAAAGGGCGCGUAGGCGGCUGAUUUAGUCGAGGGUGAAAGCCCGUGGCUCAACCACGGAAUGGCCUUCGAUACUGGUUGGCUUGAGACCGGAAGAGGACAGCGGAACUGCGAGUGUAGAGGUGAAAUUCGUAGAUAUUCGCAAGAACACCAGUGGCGAAGGCGGCUGUCUGGUCCGGUUCUAACGCUGAGGCGCGAAAGCGUGGGGAGCAAACAGGAUUAGAUACCCUGGUAGUCCACGCUGUAAACGAUGAAUGCUAGCCGUUGGGGUGCAUGCACCUCAGUGGCGCCGCUAACGCAUUAAGCAUUCCGCCUGGGGAGUACGGUCGCAAGAUUA